ACACAGCCAGGACAAAAAAAAAUGGUCUUCAUUCUCCUUCACGAUAUCUCCGCCUCCGGCUCCGCCGCUAGACCUCCGCUUGUGCCGCAUGUCUAACUCCGCCUCUACCGCCGUAUCUCAACCGCGUGAGUUCCAGCUAGCAAUCCCGUCGUCACACCGAAGGUAGGUUAGGAGCUUCACCAUUGUUGCCCUUUUUGGAUCGCCGCCAGACCUCCGCCUGCGCCGCCAGUCUAACUCCGCCUCCGCGGGAGUCCCAGCUACCAAUCCCGCCGUCACACGGACGGUAGGUUACGACUGGCGUUUUUUGGUUAUAUUUUCAGCCGGAUUCAGAGAGCCUGACUGUUGUCUUCGUUCUUCUCCGGCACCGGCGACGGCGAAGUUUGUACUCCAUGCAUGCCUCGCAGUGGACUCCCUCGACAUGGGCCUAUGAUUCGUACAUACAUCCGUUCGAAGAUCAGGCCCAUCAUCGGAAGAACGAUUCUGCUUCUAGCCCAGAUUAGUGUAUCUAACAGCGCCGCAUAAUGAUGGAUUGAUGGUGGUAAUUUCGACCCCUUCAUCAUCCCUGCAAUUAUAUUCCGCCCGUUAUUAUGACGAUUAAUUGGAGCGUUACAAUCACUUCUCCCCUCUCGUUGAUAUAAAUAGGUGGAGGCAGCACUCUAUCUUUCCUCAGUCCUUCCAUCUCACAUUCCACCCCUCAUUUGUUGACUGGAGAUGAUAUCUGCUUAGGUUUUUUCUUUCUGCUUGCGUGCAAUUUUAGUUUUGUGCUGUAACUACAUUCCGGCCAGAAUUAGGUUGCAAAAUGGCAUAUUGUUACUUGUUCCAGGGAUUAUUGUCUUUCUUUGAUCCAAGGAUUGUCGUCUUCAUUUGUUCCAGACUUUUAUUCACGGAUUUCUGAAAACAGCUAUAUCACAUUCAUUUUCCAACAUGGCUACUGGACAGGUAAGCUUACUGAAACAUUGGAUUGUACCACUGUUUAUAUAUUCUUUGUUAUAUUUUCCUCCAUUUGAAUUAUCACCUUUAUACUGCAUGGACCUACUUAGUUUUUUAGUUACAACAACUUUAUGCAUCUUGCUGCACCCUGCAUACAACAUUGUAGUCGGCAGAAAAGAAGCUGCAGAAAACUAGAGCAGCUUAAUUUAGAAGUUAACUUGUUAAGAAAGUAUCUUGCUUAUUCAGAUUUUCUUAUUUUCCAAAUUCCUAUGCAGUUCACUGCUGAGGUAGCAUCCAUUUUUGUCGAAACUCGUGCUUGCAUGUUAGCACUAAAUUAGGAUGCUCUUUCACAAUUCUGUUGCAUGGUGACAAUGGUUAGUCUUUCACCUAAUUGUCUAUGACUAAGUGCUCUUGGUGUCAAUUCUUAAAAGUUCUGAAAUAUUUAUUCUGUACUUUGGAUUACUCGUAUUCCACAUGUCUUCUAUGGGUUCAGUGCCAGCGAAUAUACUUGGGAGCACUUUAUGUCAAUGGUUAUGGAAAAUCUGUAUAUAAUGCCAUACUGGUUUAGUGGUUGUGUUUCUUGUGAGAUUUAGCUUGUUCAAAUAUACAGAAGAUUUGGUAACACAAAAAUUAUUUACGUUGUUUUGUUAAGCCGGUGCAGGAUCCAUCAAUGUCAACAAACGGUCUUAUCUGGAAGAUAUCAUUUAGACUGACAUGUCUACGAUUGAUGUCAUGGAUUAUUCAGUAGUUCAAAAUUCCUCUUGUGAGAUUUGUUUUGUUGGUAUUCUAGAACUUUGUAUCAUUCUUAUUUUCCCCUGAAUUUAUGGGCUUUAGACCUCCAGUGUUAGCGAAUAUUCUGCAGAGUAUUUUCAGUGGUUACGAAAAUCUGUAGAUAAUGGCCACCAGUUUUCAGUGGUCAUGUGAAAUCCAUACUUAGUGCCCACCUUAUUUAGCGAGAAGUGUACAUGAAUAUUUCUGGCAAGACUUAGUUUUGAAAUAUACAGAAGAUCUGGCAACACAUAGUUUUUAGCGUUGCUUUGUUAACCUGGUAUAGGAACAUCAAUGCCAGUGAACGGAGUUACCUGGAAACAUGGAUGAUUCAAUAACUCAAUCAGAAAAUUCCUCAAUUUGUUUUGUUGGUCUCGCACACAAUAAAACUUUACCUCGGAUUUACUGUCAGACUGGCCUGGUAAAGCAUCCAGAGAAGGCAAAUAAUAUCUUUCAGGUAUACACAAAGCCCAAGAAUUAGUUAUUACUAUGAUAUUUAUUUACCAUAAUAUGGUUUCAUAGGUACAGUAAUGCUAUGUGUAUCUGAAGUGGUUAGUUAUGGAGCAUCCUUUUCUUGAAAUAAUAUCCAACUUCUAAGGAAGAAAAUUACAUAUACUGUGCUACCUAGAAAUAACAUUGUUUUUAGCCUGUAAGGUGACGUUGGACUGAAAAUCCAUGAUUAGUAUGUUCCUUCAUGUGCUUAUUGUAUACCUUGAAUUACGAUAUACUCACAUUUGAAAAGGUGAAACCAAAGGCUAUAAUGGUGGCAUGAUCUAAUACUAAUAUUUAUCAUUAAUUUAUCUUUUCCUGGUUCCUUCUUUCCAGGUCAAUCUGGAGACUAAAUUUACUUGCAGCUCAGGCAUUGCAAGAACACCAACACAUGAAGUUGCAUCUACUGACGCAAACUUGCUAAUUGUGGGAAGAUCAAGGAGUACAUAUGGCAUAUAACAGAUCCCUCCGAGGUGCAAACUACUGCUGUGUGUAUCCUCCGAACAACUGAUCAGUGAGUGCUAGGCUGUCAGAAAGUAGUACUCAAUUUCACAGUUGUGACCAUUUUAGGAAUCCAUUUGAGAAAUACAAGAUGCACCAUCCAGUACGUAUCUCGGCAAGAUGCAUCGUUCAGUAGUUAGACUGGGCUGUUGCUGAGAAAUGAACCUAGAUUCACGUUUUUCUUUUAAAGUCAUGAACUUACUCCGUAAUAUUGGUCUGAUCAGUUAUUUAUUUUCAAUGUUCAGUACCUUGAAAAGACAUGUCCUAUCACCAAUAUAGCACGUUUAAUUUGUUUCA